rnacentral:rRNA from 1 species
AUUGAACGCUGGCGGAAUGCUUUACACAUGCAAGUCGAACGGCAGCACGGACUUCGGUCUGGUGGCGAGUGGCGAACGGGUGAGUAAUGUAUCGGAACGUGCCCAGUCGUGGGGGAUAACGUAGUGAAAAUUACGCUAAUACCGCAUACGAUCUAUGGAUGAAAGCGGGGGAUCGCAAGACCUCGCGCGAUUGGAGCGGCCGAUAUCAGAUUAGGUAGUUGGUGGGGUAACGGCCCACCAAGCCAACGAUCUGUAGCUGGUCUGAGAGGACGACCAGCCACACUGGAACGGAGACGCGGCCCAGACUCGUACGGGAGGGAGCAGUGGGGAAUUUUGGACAAUGGGCGAAAGCCUGAUCCAGCCAUUCCGCGUGCAGGAUGAAGGCCCUCGGGUUGUAAACUGCUUUUGUACAGAACGAAAAGGUUUCUACUAAUACUAGGAGCUCAUGACGGUACUGUAAGAAUAAGCACCGGCUAACUACGUGCCAGCCGCCGCCGUAA